rnacentral:lncRNA from 1 species
CUCAGUGUGUGCCUGGGACCUGCGGAGGCCAGCAGAGGGCGUGAACUCCUUUGGAACUGGACUUAUAGGUGAAGUUUCACUUCUGGAGUGUACUAUCCUCCAUCGGCAACUUCUGUUUUCCAAAUCCUCGUUAAAGCUGGAGACGCUCCGACGCAAAGACUCGGUCCGUAAUCCAGCAUUCAAGCUCCCAUGUGGGUCCCGGGAGUCAAACCUGGGUCUUCAGCAAGAGCAGGAAGUGAGUGCUCUUAACCUCAGAGCCAUCUCUCCAGCCCAACUGUUUCUUUCCCUUUUCAGAGCUCCCUACUAGAUAUGGUGACAGUUUUGAGAAGAAUGUAACAAGCCAAACUGCACACUCCUGCUGCCACAGCCAGGAGCUGCUCUAGACUCCAACCUGCCAAACUUGUCUGCAGCAGAGGCAGCACCUUAUUCUCCUGCAUUGAUGGAUCGGGGUUCUAAGCUCACAUUCUCUCAACGAUUGUCUCUCAUAGUUACAGCCAGCCUAGUGAGCAGAAAGCUAUAUUCUGUUAUGGGGGUCUCUAUAUGCAGCCCUGGCUGGCCUGGAACUCUCUACAUAGACCAGGCUGGCCUCAAACUCAC